rnacentral:tRNA from 1 species
UUCCUGGUGGUCCAGUGGUUAGGACUUGGUGCUUUCACUGUCCUGACCUGGGUUCAAUUCCUGGUUGGGAAA